GUCACUUCUCAGCCUUUUGGCUAAGAUCAAGUGUACUGUCUGUUCUUAUCAGUUUAGUAAAUAAAUAAAUAAAUUUUUAAAAAAGAAGAGCAACUGAACUUUAGAUCUUCAACUCUUGACUUUUA
rnacentral:snRNA from 1 species